GACUAUGUGCACAGGGAAGGCGAUUGAUAAAAAGACCUCUUUCUGAUUAAUUGAAGUACAUGUAUUUCGUUUAACACACGAACAUAUCACUCAUCGUCUUGUAUGCGCAUAUAUCAAAAUAUUGACAAAUGUGUUGUACUUCAGGAAGAGGAGAAGCGUAUUUGUUGGAAGAUGGAUAAAGAAGAUUUGGAGUAUUCACUAGACUUCUUUAAACCCUGCUUUUUAUCAGGUAACAUCAAUUAGAACAAAGGAAAUGCGCCUUCACAGUAGACAACUUACAACCUUUCCACAAGUAAUCAGGACUGCUGCCAUUCAACUAUUGUACAAAUAUACAUUUACCAGUCCUGUUGCAAAGACACUUAUUUCAUCCUCUUUCAAGGACCAUGUUAUACAGGAGUUUAACUACUUGUCCUGCACCACAAGCUUUAAAAGACUUGGCAAUCUGGCUGCAGAUGGAACUGCAUGGUUUGAAACCCUCAUAGGAAUUCUGAGAAGCCUGGAGACCUUUAACCCAGAUAAUGACAAGAUUUCCCAGUUCGAAGAGUAGAGGAGAAAUUUCCGUGCAGCAAAAUUGUACCUAAAGACAAAGACUUCAAAGCUUACCUCAAGCAUGAAUGUAGAAUAAUAUUUAAAGAUGUAAGAGAGAGAGAGAGAGAGAGAGAGAGAGAGAGAGAGAUUUAAACUCAAUGUCUUUAUUGGAUCUGGCAUGCCUGCAGGGAAUCAUGUUUCAUAUGGUGAUAUAUUUCAGUGCAAUGAGUGUUGCUAGGAGGAUUGGUGGCUAUUGUGAUGUGUAAACAUGUUGUCUUCCAUGCGUCCGAUAUGUCAGUAAAGAAUUACAUGUUGA